CGGGGAGGGGGCGCCGCCGGUGCUGGCGAAGUCCCCGCAAAACCUCACCAACCCGCACGAACGCCUUCUCCAAUUUCCGAUUUGAUUCGAUUACUUUCAACGAUGUGUCAAGGACUAAGCUAGGGAACUGCAAGGGGGUGUCUCGGUUUGGGGUGAGGAGGCCCGGAGUUUUCAGAAAGGAGAGAGGGCAGGGACGGACCAGAUGGAGAAGGUGUUUUUGAUGGAAAACUCACUGUGGUGUCUGCCUAAUUGAUCUUGAAUGAUGGCAAGUGGGCACUUAUCAGGUAACUAUUGAUGAUUAACUGACAAGGAUCUGUGAAGGCUACACUUUGUCACUUCAGAGUGCCAGAGAUACCUAUCAGUAAUAUUUUCACGUCUAUGCUUAGUACCAUGCAGGUAAAUCCCAGGCGAUUAUCAUCGAGCUGAACUUUCAUGCAGAUGUUUAAAGUGAUGCACUUGUAAGGUUAUAAGGUGAAAAUGCUAAUGUUCAAAGCUAUUUGGCAUUUUGACAGUUGUUUUAUAAAUGAACCAAAAAGAAAGAAGUUGCUAUUGUGCAAUAAAUCUGUGUGAGACAAA